UAGAUAGGUUCGAGGUGGAAGCAUAGCGAUAUGUGUAGCUGACGAAUACUAAUCGAUCGAGGACUUAACCAAAUU
rnacentral:rRNA from 1 species